UACGUAGGGGGCAAGCGUUGUCCGGAAUCAUUGGGCGUAAAGAGCGUGUAGGCGGCUCGAUAAGUCUGCUGUGAAAGUCCAGGGCUCAACCCUGGAAGGCCGGUGGAAACUGUCGGGCUAGAGUCCGGAAGAGGCGAGUGGAAUUCCCGGUGUAGCGGUGAAAUGCGCAGAUAUCGGGAGGAACACCAGUGGCGAAGGCGGCUUCCUGGCCUGUUCUUGACGCUGAGGCGCGAAAGCUAGGGGAGCAAACGGG
rnacentral:rRNA from 1 species